CCGCGUUGGCAACAAUCGUGCAGUAGGAGGGAGAGGAGCUGAGAGGCUCCUAUCUCAACUACUGCACCAAGGGAGCAGGGGAGGGCGGAGCGUCAGGGGCUCCACUCUCAACUGCUGCACAGGGGAGGGCGGAGAGUGAGAGGCUCCUAUCUCAACUGUGCAUGGGGGUGCAGUGGAGGUCGGAGCGUGAGAGGCUCCAAUCUCAACUGCUGCACCCAGGAAGCAGAGGAGGACGUGAGUCCUUUUUCUGUUGUAGGCGUUAUAAAGCGUUAAAGCUUUAAAGGGCCAGUAAUAUAACUAAAGCUUCAGUGGAAGCAAAACUUUAAUGCCAGCGGGUGCACCCUAUAAAAUGGCUAAAAUGGUUUCAAGGUAUUUCCUCGGUUCUCGGUAUUUCAUGGUUUCAAGGUAUUUUACUGGUUCUCAGUAUUUCAAGGUUUCACAAGGGAUUUCUCGGGCUCAAUCUCAACUGCUGCACCCAGAGAGGGAGCAGGGGAGGACCUGAUUCACUUUUCUGUUCUCGGCUUUAUAAAGCUACAUUUAAAGGUUUAUAUAGGACCAAUAUUACUAAAGCUUCAGAGGAAGCAAAACUUUAAUGCCAGCGGGUGCACCCUUUAAAAUGGCUAAAAUGGUUUCAAGGUUUCAUGGUUUCUCAAGGGAUUUCUCAGGUUCAAUCUCAACUGCUGCACCCAGAGAGGGAGCAGGCGAGGACCUGAGUCCCUUUUCUGUUCUCGGCUUUAUAAAGCUACAUUUAAAGGUUUAUAUAGGACCAAUACUAUUAUAAAGCUUCAGAGGAAGCAAAAACUUUAAUAGCCCUAUAAAAUGGCUAAAAUGGUUUCACAAGGUCUUGUGGUAUUUCAUGGUUUACAAGAGACCCCAAGGUUUUCCAAGGGGUUUCUCAAAUAUGUUACAGCACAAAACAGUGACUUUCAACAUGACCUUCAAACGGCACUUAGCUGUGAUGUAGGCUGUUUGACUGUGCUGUGUGGCUGUGUGGCUGUGUGCUGCGCUAUCUGCGCAGUGCAAUGUAUUGUUUUGGUGCAGUGCAUUGGGUGAAAUGUACUGUUUCUGGAGUUGGUCCAGGCUAUUGGGUGCAAUACAUUUUAUUGGGUGCUAGCCAAAGACAAUGGAUCCGUCGCAAUGCAACACAAGACAUAGAAGCUUGUGAUCCACAGUCCCCUCCCCUAACGGUCCUCGUCCACCUGAACGAAAAAGGGUGGCAAAUCUCCCCCCAAACUCGACUGUGGCUAAAGUGACUGCUGUCUGUUGCUGCUUUGUGACCGAUACAAUGGAACUGGAUUGGACCAAAUGGAACUGGAUUGGACCAAGUGGAACUGGAUCGGAUCCUAUGGAACUGGAUUGAACCCGAUGGAACUGGAAUUGGACUAUCUUACCGUAGCAUAUCUCUUUUGUAAAAAAGAUCUGUUGUACAGAUCGGUUGUACAUGUAGUUUGUUGCAUCUGUCCUCUCAUUGUAUGACGAGUCAGAACUGAGCUGUGAUUUAAGUCACUGGGGUGUUUGCUGCUGCUGCUGCUUUUACUAAUCUAUUCCAGAAGAGAGACGUACUUCUGGAAUAGCCCCCCCGGUCAGUGGCCACCAUGAGACAGAAGAACCUAUGGUGGUGAGUAUCCCAAUCUCCUCCUGUGGCUUGAGUAACUGGUGUUUGUUGCUGCUUUGGGGGGGGGGUUUCUUUUUUACUCCUAUUUCAGAAGAGAGACGUACUUCUGGAAUAGCCCCCCUGGUCAGUGGCCACCAUGAGACAGAAGAACCUAUGGUGAAACCAGCAGCGAAACACAUGGACUGGAUUUCACUGACUGGACUGGAUGUGAUUUACCUGUUUUUAGUGCGGCCAGCUGGGGGCGCCACAGCCACUUCACCCCAUCAGUAUGGAUUAAGAAGUUUGAAGUUUUUGUAUAAAUUAAUAGAAAAUGGCUCUCUAUUUUUUUUUUUCCAUUGCUUUGAAAAGUCACCUGAUUAUUUACACUUUAACUUCAUUUAUAAUUCACACUUAAGUGUUGCAUUGGGAGUUGUUCCGUCUUUUGUAUUCGUGAACAAUAAGUUAACUGUUCAUUUUUAUUUAUUUUUUGGAAUAUUUUCUGGUUUCUUUGCUCCAUAGAAAAAAGAAGUCAUUACAACAGAAUCAUUUGAGAACAUCAUCAUUUCCAGGUUUGACAAACACUGAUCAAUAUUUUUCUACAUUUCAUGACAUUUCAUGGACCAAACUAUUACUCCAUUCAUCGAGAAAAUUAAUUGAUUAUAAAUAUAUUCGUUAGCUGCAGCUCUACUACGGUGGCCUUGACGUGCAAAUCACCAACACAAAUGGGAAAUUCAACAUUAACUGAAAUGCAACAACCAGUUUCAGUUAAUGUUCUUGUGUUUUGGUUGUUUUAGCUGAUGUUGUUUCAGUUGAUGUCGUUGACGUUUGUGUUUCAGUUGCCGUUGUUGGGUUUCGGUUAACUGUGUUGUGUUUCAGUUGCUGUUGUUGGGUUUCGGUUGACGGUGUUGUGUUUCAGUUGCUGUUGUUGGGUUUCGGUUGACAGUGUUGGGUUUCAGUUGCCGGUGUUUUCCUAUUUGUGUUGGUGAUUUGCACUUCAAGGCCACCGUAGUAGAGCUGCAGCUAACAAUUAUAUUCAUAAUCAA